AUCCUGUCUGUGAAAACUGGAUUUAGCUAUCUCUUGAUUGUAACAAUGAAGGAUGACGAUUGUCUUUGUGCGUUUUUGUGCACAAAGACACCUGUGCAUGAAGAUUUAAGUGGAAAAGUCGAUGCUCAGAGACAGUCCCACUCUCUCGGCAUUGGAAGCCUGGGUCCAUUGGCAUGAAAAGUUGUUACACCUGGAGACUUCCUCAACUUCAAUGGAUGGCCAUGUUGUCUUUUGUGCUCCAACAUGCCCUGAGCACUCCACAGUGCUUUCCUGCAUCGCCAUCUCAGCCGUUGAACCUUCUUGUUGGUUUCUUCCGCCUGUUCCGCUGAAGCAGUCUUCACAUGCUGGGGGUGUGAGAUAGAUGAUGAACCAGAAGAACUGAGAGAUGGAACAAUCCAAUAUCCAGGAAGAGGACAAAAAGAGAGCACUGUCAUUGAGACAAAGGGCAAGGAGAAUACCUAGGAGGAAGGACUGAGAAAAGGUCAUCAGGUCAUCAGGCUUGACAAUUAGGAGAUCAUUGACAAUCUUCAAGAAAAGAGAGGGAGCUGUGAUUCAAGUUAAUUUCAGAGUCGAAGGCCAUGCGGCAGAAGAGUUUCAAAUGAUGGCAAGUUCUAAGGUAUGACCACCAAUGGAGACGGAGCAACAGUGAAGAUAGAGAUCCCUGGAGUUGAAGUUGAUUAACUGAGAGAUCAAGGUUUUCAAGGUGACAUUAACAUGAGCAAUGAAGACUCCAAAGAUUCAACUCUCCAUACUCAGAGAAAUCCUUUUAUUUAAAGUUAAAGAAAUUUAUACGCUUCCUUGACCUUUUUUUUUUGUAAACUGGGACAGGAAUCUCAGAUUACUGUUGUAUUUCCUGCUUUUAGCUGGAUUGGGAAGACCACAAAACAUCCUCUUUUGGUGACAGUUUGGCAAGAAAACUCCAGAUCAGGAAGAGCAAAAACAUAAAUAUUGUUGUUGUUGUUGGGUCCAUUUGGUUCCAACCUCAGCUCUCCUCCUUUUUCCCCCUGUUGACCUUUUAUUGAACUUGGAAAGAUUUUGAUUCAGUCUUUUUUUAUAACUUGAGCAAAAGGCUUGGGUCAGUUGAGGUCAGUUCUCAUUCUAUCUGAAUCAGUUCCCUAUCCCCUAGUUCAGUGGGAAAAAAUUUUAGCAAAAUAAAUUUGCACAUUGUUUUAGUUUUCA
rnacentral:lncRNA from 1 species